rnacentral:rRNA from 1 species
GACGAACGCUGGCGGCGUGCUUAACACAUGCAAGUCGAACGGAAAGGCCCUGCUUUUGUGGGGUGCUCGAGUGGCGAACGGGUGAGUAACACGUGAGUAACCUGCCCUUGACUUUGGGAUAACUUCAGGAAACUGGGGCUAAUACCGGAUAGGAGCUCCUGCUGCAUGGUGGGGGUUGGAAAGUUUCGGCGGUUGGGGAUGGACUCGCGGCUUAUCAGCUUGUUGGUGGGGUAGUGGCUUACCAAGGCUUUGACGGGUAGCCGGCCUGAGAGGGUGAUCGGCGAGGAAGGAACUGAGACGCGGUCCAGAAUAGUAGGGAGGGGAGCAGUGGGGAAUAUUGGGGGAGGGGCGAAAGCGUGACAACGCGAUGUCGCGUAGGUGAAGAAGGCGUUCGGGUUGUAAAGCCGUGUUGUUGGGAAAGAAAAGCAUGAGGUUAAGAACCGGAUGUUCGGACGGUAACCAAAGAGUAAGCACGGGAUAACGUCGGG